rnacentral:lncRNA from 1 species
CAGGCUUUCGCAACUGCAGAAUUCAUUUCCCAAGAAUCAAUCUUUUGGAAAUUUCGGAGGAACAAGAUAUUUUCAAAAUAGGUCACAUUGGAAUACAAGAAUGACUGGGAGAUCCAUACGAUCAAAUGAACUUAAUGUUGCGUGUCCAUAUUAGACACUACUAAAGGUUGUUAACCUUCUUGUAAUCACAACACACACAAGUGAUGGCGUCCCAUCCAACUCCUAUCACACAGACAGGUAUACCUUGUGUCCCCUAUACAUAGGGUUGUUCAUCCCAAUCA